rnacentral:rRNA from 1 species
AAUGAACGCUGGCGGUAGGCCUAACACAUGCAAGUCGAACGGCAGCACAGUAAGAGCUUGCUCUUACGGGUGGCGAGUGGCGUACGGGUGAGGAAUACAUUGGCAUCUACUUAUUCGUGGUGGAAAACGGAGGGAAACUUACGCUAAUACCGCAUAUGACCUAUGGGUGAAAGCAGGGGAUCUUCGCACCUUGCGCGACUGAAUGAGCCGAUGUCGGAUUAGCUAGUUGGCGGGGUAAAGGCCCACCAAGGCGACGAUCCGUAGCUGGUCUGAGAGGAAGAUCAGCCACACUGGAACUGAGACACGGUCCAGACUCCUACGGGAGGCAGCAGUGGGGAAUAUUAGGCGAUGGGCGCAAGCCUGAUCCAGCCAUACCGCGUAGGUGAAGAAGGCCUUCGGGUUGUAAAACGCUUUUGUUGGGAAAGAAAAGCAGCAGGUUAAUACCCCGCUGUUCUGACGGUACCCAAAGAAUAAGCACCGGCUAACUUCGUG